AAAAAAUAGUUUCUAGAUAAUUACAAUAGCGCAGUUCAUGUCUAGUAAAGCUGGUAGUCGAAUUGGAAAUCCUAUCAUCGAAAAUAUCUUAAAAGCAAUGAAGGCCUUCAUGCCUUCGAAAGCACAAGAGCCUAUAUUAAAAACUCCGAUUUUGACCAUAUAUUUUAUACUCACUUGAUGGAUUUGAUUAUAUAUUCAAAAAAUUAAGAAAAUUCGAUUUCUGGAUAUUUCGAAUGUAUUAUGUUAUAUUUAACGAUAUAAAAUAAAUCGUUAAUUUGAAAACUCCAUCAUCGAGAAGGACUUGUGCGCUCGUGAAGUAAUGUACGUAGUAAUUGGCAGUGCACCACCAUGCGCUCACUCUGCGGGGCUCUUUUCGAAAAAUUCUAGAAUGCAACGGGUAUAUUAGUGACGUGGCGUAAUAAACCAAUCAAAUUAAUCCUUUUAAAAAUAUAUGUCCCAUCAUGCUUGUAAAAAAGUACUUUUAUUGUACUUUUGUUUAAAAAGAAGGAAUGUGAUUGGCUUGUUAUUGAUGACGUGGUGUAAGUGCGACAGUAUAGAAUUCCUCGCUAAAUGUGACAGUGUAGAAUUCCUC
rnacentral:lncRNA from 1 species